rnacentral:ncRNA from 1 species
GACUUGGAUCCUAGCUCAGAAGGAAUGCUAGCUACAUUCUUAAUACAUACAAGUCGAACAUUGUUUUUGGGGAGCUAGGCCGAAGGAAAAGAGGCUCCUAGCUAAAGGUAGCUUAUCUCUCCCAAGAGGUGAGAAGAGUUGAGAACAAAAUGGUGAACGGAUGCAUAAUGCAUGGGAAUCUGCCAAACAGUUUGGGCCAAAUACUAAAGAAAGAUAGAAAGCGUUAUUUGAUGAGCCUACAUAGUAUUAGGUAGUUGGUCAAGUAAAGGCUGACCAAGCCAAUGAUGCUUAUCUGGUCUUUUUGGAUGAUUAGACACACUGGGACUAAGACAUUGCCCAGACUUCCAUAAAGGUGGAGAGGGGGUAAGGGAUGGGGGCAGCAGUGGGGAAUCUUGGACAAUGGGCAAAAUCCCGAUCCAGCAGUAUCUCAUGAGUGAAGAAGGGCAAUGCCGCUUGUAAAGCUCUUUCGUUGAGUGCGUGAUCAUGAAAAGACUCUAGGAAGAAGCCCGAGCUAACUCCAUGUAAAUUAGAUCAUAGAGAAAACUUAAAAUUAGCACUUAAACUAUAGGGAUAGGGGGCAUAGCGAGUGUU